GCAGCUGUCCGGUUCGCCAAGCUGGUCCAGCCGACCUGUGCCCGGGGCCCCAGUUCAACGAGCUGGAGGACAAGGGACUCGCCCCGCGAGGCCUCGGUUUGGAUGGGCAGUCGCGGGCUGGAGAGAAGGGGAGGCGCUGUGCCUUCCGGGGAGGAGCGGGUUUAAGGGUUCCUUUUUGACCUUUAUUCCCAGGACCGAUUCUGGGGCGAGUGCUUGGCGCCAGGGCACGGGGGCGGGGGCCCUGACUGCCUCAGCCGAAAAAUAGUCUGUUGUGAGGAAUUAGCACCUAGGAGGUAGGAAUGAAACGCUGGGCACAGAGAGGCUCGGCCACUCCGCUAAGGCCACACAGCUCCAAGGGGAGGCGGUGCCCUGCCGAACUGCGCCCAGAUCAGUGGCAAUGUUGAACUUCACCUUUUCACACGAAAAGAGCAAGGGACAUUCCUGGAGGGGACAGGAGAGGUGGAGGCUUACAUGAACAGGGAAACCCGGGAGGGCUUCCAGAAGGAGGUGGCUUCUAGGCUGGAGCUUGAAGGACAAAUGAGAAUUCCUCGGGUAGAAAUGGAGACCGGGGAGAGGAGAGAACAGAGAAGGGUCCCGAUAGAUCUGUGGAUUCCUGGCACCUAGCUGCUCACUCUGAGUCUAAUGAAUGAGCGCGUAGACCGAAUGGCUGGGAAGCAGCAAGUGAUUCCAGGCUGCUGGGGGAGGACGGCGGAGGAAAGGAGGCCGUGUCUGCAGCACCUGCAGGACCAGGUGUCUUAGAACAGAGGCCCGUUCCUCAGGCACUGGCAGUGCAGCCACCAAGUAAGGCUGUGCCCCACCUUCAGGAGAACAGGAGGAAAUGCCUGGGUAAAGACUAAUUAAAUACGCAGGCAAAAUAACAAAUGCCUGCGUUCUUUUUUU
rnacentral:lncRNA from 10 species